rnacentral:rRNA from 1 species
CGGGUGCGUAACACGUGAGCAACCUACCGAUUUGUGGGGGAUAGCCGGCCCAACGGCCGGGUAAUACCGCAUACGCUCUUUGGGCUUCAUGGCCUAUUGAGGAAACCUCCGGGGCAAAUCGAGGGGCUCGCGGCCUAUCAGCUAGUUGGCGAGGUCAUGGCUCACCAAGGCGACGACGGGUAGCUGGUCUGAGAGGAUGGCCAGCCACAUUGGGACUGAGAAACGGCCCAG